AUUCCUGUAGUUGAGACACAACGGUGGUUUUUCAAGUCAUAAGUCCUGGUUAGAAUCCUGGCGGGAAUC
rnacentral:tRNA from 1 species